UUUCCGUAGGUGAACCUGCGGAAGGAUCAUUAUUGAAUGAAACACUUCUGGCUUUAUGCUGUUGUGCUGGCCCUUUGGGCAAUGUGCACACGGCUCUGGUCACUUGUUUCUUCUGCUCCACCUGUGCACUGCCUGUAGACACGCUGUGUCUAUGAUAUUUGUUAACACACAACAAUGUUAGUUGGCAUGUUAUAUAUAAUAAUAAAAUAUACAACUUUCAACAACGGAUCUCUUGGCUCUC
rnacentral:misc_RNA from 1 species